GCCGGGCGGUGCAGAGGGGCGGGGCCGCGGGGCCUGGAAGCAGCCUCCGGGAUCUGCAAGUCUGGAAAGGCCACGUUGUGGACCUUGGCGCAGAGGUUAUGGGGGCGACCCGGAGCGGAUGGUUUCAGGAAAACUAGAACCCACCCUCAUGGCCUGAACAACUGGAGAGAAGAGGAUCGCAGCAAUUUAAAGCCAGCGGCAAGGAUCACAGUCCUGGGCUCCCCUCAAUGGGAAGUAGAAUCUCUUUCUCCACCUCUUCAAUAUGGCUGGCCCUGGAACUUCCCUUGGCACACAGAAUGCAGCAGAAUUGGCUUCAUGUUGUUUCUAAGCCUUGGCCUCAGAGGCCUUGCAUGCUUCCUAACCCUGGCUCUAGGAAACUUGCUGCUGUCAUGUAAGCAAGCCCAGGCUAACCUACUGAAUGUUGGUGUGUCCCAGUCAAAUCCAGCACUGCAACCAAUAGCCAGGCAGCCACCAGACAUGUGAGUGGGGCCACCUCACACCAGCCAACCUCCACCAAGUCAUCAGAUGUAUGAGUGAGAACAGCCCAGAACAACUGAGCCCGUCCAGACCAGCGGAACAACCAAGCUGACCAGUAGACUUAGGAGCAGUAAACAGAUGAUUGUUAUGGAAGCCAUUCUGUUUAGGGUGUGUGUGUUAUUGCUUGCAUCCAAAUACAUCCUAUCUCAUCUAAUGAGAAAAGGCCCUGCUCAAGGGCUUUUGCAGCUGUAGUUGGGCGCCGGAAGUGUCUUUGUGGUCAUUUCUUACUCCAUACACGGGGAGAUCAAGGCUCAGACCAGGUAGUGUGACUGUGGACAACACUUUCCUUACCCCUCUGUGACACUUAAAUCAAUGAAGCAGAUUCACAGAAGCAUGCAUGCUCACUGAACACAGUAUUUGCAUUCCUACCUCCAAACCUUUGCUCCACCCAUGCAUCCAGUAAGAAUGCCUACUUCCCUCCUCUCCUCCAUCGAGUUCUUUCUUUGAGUUCUACCUUCCCUAGUCUUCCUCCACUGCACCAACCCACGGUGAUCCCUGUCUCUUCCAAAUGCUUUGUAACAUGGUAGGCAUCACUCACUUGUGACUCAUUGGACCAUUUUAAAACUUGGUUUUCUGUGUCUCUUUUCCAACAAAAUUACAAAUUCUUUGAGGGUAAAAGUCAGGCCUAAUAGUUCUCUGUACUCCUAGUAGUGCCAGUGUGGUAAAAAUUUAACUUGACAAUUAGCAAAACCAAUAAAUUCCUUACACUAUUCUGUUCCUGUAGGUAAUCAGUAUAUGAAUAUGGAUUCCUAUGUGAUGAUUUUCUGGUCUAUUUUGUCCCUUUUUUUUUUUUGUUACUUUAACCAGGCCAUAACAUAAAGGUUAUGCCAUUUGUUACUGUCAAGCUUAAUUAAGCCCAUUAUAAUUCGUUAACCCCUGUGCUUGCUUUGUAAUUAACAUUGAUUAACACAAACAAGUACAAAAUAGGCCAUCAGCACUUUCCAGAAGUGCUGAUUACAAUUACAUUGGUAAUUCAAUACGGUAUAGAAGAUGGCAGGAUAGUAACUUGCACUCUGUUUACAUAAGGAGACAAAUGCUACCAUGCAAAACUAAGCCAAGAAACAAAAUACUUUCCUCAUCCAACUCACUGAUUAAACCCUUACCCUGUUAACUCACCCUAUGACUGUGUAAACCUCCAGUAAGAUUAUUGAAGGCACAGCUCCAAGUAACUUGCUUAAUUGCAUUCCUGGGACAAAAGAGGGAAGCGCUUCAAAGCUGACAGACAGAUGGUAGAGUGUCCAGUCACAGCAAAGCAGGCCCCGAGGCUCAUGACAGACAACUCCAGGGCUGAGAUCUCAUUUGUAGCUCUGGGAUAAAGUCCAGGGUUUGAUGGCAGCAGGCUGAAGUGUAAAGAUGCUCAACAAUGCGCACCCCAGAGACACUGAAUCUGAAAAAGCUUAGAGUGAAUAAAAAUCUGGAAAUGAACUCUGUCUGUCUAUUCACCAUUCCCCCCAUAAAAAAAUUCCUAUAUUCCGGAUGGUGUUCAAGUUCCCUUUCCACAGGACCUCAGCAGUCAGGGAGGUGCUCCUGCAAUCUAUGUGAAGGAGAUUUCACCAUGCCCACAUGGGAAUACAGUAGAUUGCCAGUAGGGAUGCCACACCUUUGCAUUUCCUCGUAUUUCCAGGAACAAAGCUGGGGUGCCUAGGAGCUGCAGCAGUUUUUCUUCUGUGUAAAAUAAGCAAGCAGGACUCUGCCCCACUGCACUCCAGGGAAGGAUUAAGAGAAUUGAUAUCAUCCAAAUCAAUUGGCCCUGUGCAGAUGACUUGAUAAUGAGGCCAUUGAGUUUUUAUGGUUCACUAUUAUUGCUACAAAAAUUAUGCUGCAGAAAUCAUUCAAAUGCUCAAAAAGGAGCAUUAGUACGAAACUGGGUGUUCCAAAGUUGUUGCUGAGAGGUGUGUAAUGUUCCUGAAGAUCCCCAAGGCACUAAGACUUCUCUGUACAUGAAUGACUCAUAGAGAAGAAAUACACCAGAUGAAAAUAUAUGGAGAAGUUUGCCGAAUGUCAUAUAACUU
rnacentral:lncRNA from 1 species